rnacentral:misc_RNA from 1 species
GUAACAAAAUGGCGUUUGAAAGUCAGUCUGAAACUUCUAAUACACAUUUUUCCUCAAACAUAGACAUAGAUAAUCCACCAUUCUCUCGUGUCUUUAUUGUUUGUGGACGUAACUUAACCUUAGAAGAAGUGACAAAUGCAUUUUCUGCUUAUGGCACAGUUGAAGAUGUACGUAUGGUUAAAGAUAAAGUAACGAAGGAAAGCAAGGGUAUUUGCUUCGUAAAGUUUGCCAAGGCAUCGUCUGCUGCUAUGGCUAUUGAAUAUUUGGAUGGAAAGGUAAUUGGAAGUGAACCCAAGCCCAUAAAGGCGAUGAUUGCUCAGUCCAAAACACCAGGAAAACAACCCGACUUACAAGACUCGGAUCUCAGCCGUAUCUUCGUUGUCAUUCCAAAAACGUUCAGCGAAGAUGACUUACGUGCGAAGUUCGCAGAUUACGAUAGCGAUAUUGAUUAUUGCCAAGUGGUAAGAGAUCAUGAGACGAGGGACUCGAAAGGAGUCGGUUAUGUGAAAUUCACAAAACCCUCAACGGCUGCAUUAGCAAUUGAAACUUGUGACCGCUCCUUGAAAGCUGUGAUUGCGGAACCCAAAUCGUCCAAGUUUAAACAACAUAAAUUGGAGCAAGAGAAGAAUGUCAUGUCUGCAUUCGCCGCCGCUAUGCAGGCAAUGCCGGUGAAUCCUUUCCUGGAGCAACAAAAUUUCAACUUUCCUGGCAUUCAUGAUCAAAGUAACCCAGCAAAUACAAUGUUAGCUGCUCAAGCUGCUGUGACUGAGGGAAUUGCAAACCAACUCGCCUCCUCCUUCAGAAAUAAACGUCUCUUUGUCAUCGUUUCUCCGUCGGUAACCCAAGAUCAGCUUUCUUCACUGUUUGAUCUCAUUCCCGGAAUGGAAUACUGCGACCUGAAACGCGACCACAACACACGCGAAUCGCGUGGUAUUGCGUACGUCAUGUACAAGUCGAUGGGUUCCGCAGUCUACGCGAAGGAGAAGCUCAACGGUUUCGAAUAUCCUCCAGGAUCGAGACUCGUCGUUAAAUUUGCCGAAGAAAAUACACACGCACAGAAUGGCAACAAAAAUAAUAUGACUGGUACGCAUGUUACCAGCAUGCCAAAUGAGCUUUCUUACCCUGCGUUUAAUACCACUACCCCUGGAUAUAUCUCCACUGCUAUGGGUAAUCCCAUGGUGUUCAAUCCUAACCCCUCUUCUACAGCAUCCUAUCAAGCCUCUUCAAAUACCACUACUGGGUCAAGCACACCGUACACCACGGCAGUUUUACCGAACCCGCAACGUUUUGCAGAUCCGAAUGCGGACGUUGCUGCUCGGCUGUUCAUCGUCUGCCAACCCCGCGCCCCGCCAGAGCAGGUACUUAAGGAUGUUUUCAGUCGUUUUGGAGAUCUUAUUGAUGUCUGGAUGGUUGGUGAUCGUAAUUUUGGUUAUGCGAAGUUUUCCACAAAAGUCGCUGCAGAUGCUGCCAUCACCGGCUUGAAUGGACAGGAGAUCCUGGGGAUGAAAGUUAAGGUUCUCCAUGCAGAUCCACCGAAGAACGAAAGCUCCAGGAAACGCCCAAGAGUGUGAAGUGCUUUUAUUAGGAAUACUACUGUGCAUGGGCAGUACGAGUUAAAAGAGCUACAUCCUUGCAUCGCACGAUGUGGUAAUAACAUCACUGACGUAUUUAACGGAGGUAUGGUUACUUUUAACGACGUCCACGGUCACAUCUACAUUGACUUUAACAAUCAGCACAAAGCAAUUCCAAGACUACUACUACCGGUUCUCAGAGCAUUGUUUAUGCUCAUGUCCCAAAAGUAACUGGCAUUGGCAGUCCUUUGUCUUUGUAUAUAAGACUGACCGUUUAGGAAUGAGAUGGAUGGCUGUUUGCUACAGGUGGAGCAGCGGCAGUAUUGCCACAGCUACGACAGGCACAGGCUGCUGGUACGGUGAUACGAUGACGCUUAGUGGUGUCGUUUGGACA